rnacentral:lncRNA from 1 species
AAUGAUUUUAAAAAGACAAUUUCCCUUUUAAAACCAGAAAAACUGAUGAAAAAAGGAAAAUAAUGUACUUUCUUAUUAUUUAUUUCCCAAAUUCGACGCAGUUCGACACCUUAAUGAAGCAUAUCAAAGAAAAGGUGUAUUUCAGAAGCACAGAAAGGUGCUAUUCCCAUUUUCAGGAACUAACAGGAACACAGUUUUUAUGAAAUAUGAAGACACAAGUCUAAAAAAUACAUUUUUGAAUUUAGUUCAAUAUUUCCCUCGUAAAAUGCGGAAUUUUUGAUCGAUUUCAUCCAUUUUUUGACCAUUCUGUUUGUCUGUCCAGUGCGCUAAAAAUAGACAUAUAUUAACAACAGAAGGGACAUAACUCGAGAAGACAUUUAAGAAAAUCUAUUAUGCUGUACUGGUCAAUGAGAUUAACAGAUAAGAUAUAUGGCUAGAGUUACUUGAUUGGGUACAACACACAUAUAACAUCAAAGACAGUCAAUUUGGUCAUGGUUCUUUGUAUCUAACAAUAGAGAACAGUGGGGAACUUUUGGCGAGCUUUAUCUAUGGGUAUUACAUCUAUGAUU